ACGCUCGACACCUACGGGAGGCAGCAGUAGGGAAUCUUCCACAAUGGACGCAAGUCUGAUGGAGCAACGCCGCGUGAGUGAAGAAGGUCUUCGGAUCGUAAAACUCUGUUGUUAGAGAAGAACACGAGUGAGAGUAACUGUUCAUUCGAUGACGGUAUCUAACCAGCAAGUCACGGCUAACUACGUGCCAACAGCCGCGGUAAUCUGAGCGGGCUGCAAGGC
rnacentral:rRNA from 1 species